rnacentral:rRNA from 1 species
UACGUAGGGGGCAAGCGUUGUCCGGAAUCAUUGGGCGUAAAGCGCGUGUAGGCGGCUCGAUAAGUCUGCUGUGAAAGUCCAGGGCUCAACCCUGGGAUGCCGGUGGAUACUGUCGAGCUCGAGUCCGGAAGAGGCGAGUGGAAUUCCUGGUGUAGCGGUGAAAUGCGCAGAUAUCAGGAGGAACACCAAUGGCGAAGGCAGCUCGCUGGGACGUGACUGACGCUGAGACGCGAAAGCGUGGGGAGCGAUCCGG